ACUUGCUUCCCGUCUCUACAUCUUCUGUUCUAAAAGGGAAAAUAGAUCCCCUUUCCCUUUCUGUGCUCUUUCAUGGUAGUCUUGGAAGUUUGGUUGUAUACCAAAUCGGUGGCAUGCCCAGCACCGAAGCUUUGGAGGAGAUGCUAGGCCGGCUCUGAGCGAGGAGGGGACGGGCGUUCAAGCCCCCAUCUUGCGCCGCCCACCAGCGAGGUCGCAUCUUGCCGGUUUGGAUCUGGUGAGGCAGACCGGCCACCAGGGAGGCCACGGGAGAAUAUGAGCGAUAACUACUUGUUAGCUUCCUCAGUGCUCUGCUCUCCUACUCGUGGCACCAGGAGUGAGAGAUGUGUCGUCGGGCUGGACGACCAUUUUCUCUAUCGUCGUCUGAGCGGAGCAGAAUGUGCGGCUAUGAAUAUCUUACUACUCUCCCAAUACUCUCUGCAUUCUCCUCUUGCCUGGCAGUAUAUAUGUACUUUGUAAGUUGCUUUUACAUAUUUGACACCUAAAUUAAUAAAGAGAUAUGGAUGAUAUACUCUUUUGUUCUACUAAGUUAUAAUUAGGAGAUAACCUCAUACAUUUUGUUUUCUUGUAAGGAUUAGUUAUACAAUAAAGAUUAUAGUUACUUGACUUGCUAUGGAUGUCUCUUCAACACUUCCAUAAUUAUUAUAUGAAACUUCAUAUAGCAAAAACAUACUCAUUAUAUCCAUCUACUACGUAUAAUGCCAAUAUUGUAAGUCUUGUUUGUGAUUAUUACCAUAUAAUCAUAUAUACACAUGAAAGCAGUUUUAGAAAGUAGUAAUAUGCAUUUGUGAUUAGUCUAUUUGCUUCUACUGAGAGUCUGCAGGCGGAGGCGAGCUAUGGGCUUCCUCAUUGUUGGUGUUGUCGGCUUCCAGCUAUGUAAGGUCUUAGAGUCUUGUUGUUCUCGAAAAGUGGUGAUAUCAUAUCUUAGAAGAAGUCCGAUGCCUUACCUGAUUUGCUUAGUUUCCAUGCGCCAUUCCAGAGAGGCAACAACUCAGAAGGUUUGGCUGGCGUCGUGACAUCUGUCAUAGUUUUGGCUGAUUUGCGUUGCAUCGUUUGUUUCAUCAUGGCGGCAACUCAGAAGAUUUCUAUAUUGUAGGUGGUCUGCUUGUCGGGCAAAUUUUGCUUCCUGGAUCUCUCGCAAAAAGCAGCCCUAUAUCUAUGGAGCGAACUUCUGGAUGUACUUUGUCCAUCAUGAUGCUCUCCAGCAUAGUCCGAUCCUACCCUGAUUGCAUCCAUUGCACUUUGGUGUGGUGUUUGCCAUGCUCUCGGAUGCCGUCCAAUCAUGCCCUUUUUGCAUCCAUCACACUUUGUCAUCGUGUUUAGCCUCACGUGGAGCAUGAUAUGGAUCAUGCCCAAUCUCACUUGUGUUGUAGUACAUGGAAAAAAAGUUUUGGCUUCUUGGGCGUUGCUGGACGUGGCCAGCUGGGUGUCUUUAUUUGUUCGUGUUAGCCGACCCUGAGUGGAGUUCUUUGGUUGAGUCCGUGUGUAUAGAUUUGGAAAUCCAACCACGCGUGGAGUUCUUUGGUUGAGUCCGUGUGUAGAUUUGGAACUGUGAACAGUAGAUUCCAUAUAGUAUACUCUUCUUUGACAACUA